UACGUAGGGCGCAAGCGUUAUCCGGAAUUAUUGGGCGUAAAGAGCUCGUAGGCGGUUUGUCGCGUCUGCCGUGAAAGUCCGGGGCUCAACUCCGGAUCUGCGGUGGGUACGGGCAGACUAGAGUGAUGUAGGGGAGACUGGAAUUCCUGGUGUAGCGGUGAAAUGCGCAGAUAUCAGGAGGAACACCGGUGGCGAAGGCGGUUCUCUGGGCUGGAACUGACGCUGAGGAGCGAAAGCGUGGGUAGCAAACAGG
rnacentral:rRNA from 1 species